rnacentral:rRNA from 1 species
AGAGUUUGAUCCUGGCUCAGAUUGAACGCUGGCGGCAUGCCUUACACAUGCAAGUCGAGCGGCAGCGCGGGGGCAACCCUGGCGGCGAGCGGCGCACGGGUGAGUAAUGCAUCGGAACGUGUCCUCUUGUGGGGGAUAACCAGUCGAAAGACUGGCUAAUACCGCAUGAGAUCGAGAGAUGAAAGCAGGGGACCCGCAAGGGCCUUGCGCGAGAGGAGCGGCCGAUGCCCGAUUAGCUAGUUGGUGGGGUAAUGGCCCACCAAGGCGACGAUCGGUAGCUGGUUUGAGAGAACGACCAGCCACACUGGGACUGAGACACGGCCCAGACUCCUACGGGAGGCAGCAGUGGGGAAUUUUGGACAAUGGGGGCAACCCUGAUCCAGCCAUGCCGCGUGUGUGAAGAAGGCCUUCGGGUUGUAAAGCACUUUCGGCCGGAACGAAAUCGCACGGGUGAAUAUCCCGGGUGGAUGACGGUACCGGAAGAAGAAGCACCGGCUAACUACGUGCCAGCAGCCGCGGUAAUACGUAGGGUGCGAGCGUUAAUCGGAAUUACUGGGCGUAAAGUGUGCGCAGGCGGUCUCGCAAGUCAAGUGUGAAAGCCCCGGGCUUAACCUGGGAACUGCGCUUGAAACUACGAGACUCGAGUGUGGCAGAGGAAGGUGGAAUUCCACGUGUAGCGGUGAAAUGCGUAGAGAUGUGGAGGAACACCGAUGGCGAAGGCAGCCUUCUGGGCCAACACUGACGCUCAUGCACGAAAGCGUGGGGAGCAAACAGGAUUAGAUACCCUAGUAGUCC